UUUCUAGUACCUUCUCUUCUUAAUGGGGAUGCAUAAAAUGUAUUAUCCUUUUCUCUUCUACAGUGGACCGCUUGUUUGAGAUAUUCUGCGAGUGUGCAGAGCUUAAUCCAGAACCCAUUGAAGGAGAAGAAGAAGCGCAUAAUUGGAUUUUUAGUGCUGAUCGGAUUGGAGAUGAAGUUGCAGAAGGGGAAGAUCCUGAUUGGAUUAUGUCUCAAAAUCCAACAAGCACAAUUGGUCAAUCUAAUGGGGAUCAUGACUUAGCACGUACAGUGCUAGAGCUUCAGAUCAACGAUCAGCGAUUUGAGGAUGCAGAAGAAAUGGGGCAUGAUGUCAACAGUGGCCACCGUUGAGCUUGUUCUCCCUUUUCUUUCUUCACAUCUUCGGGUGUUGCCAUUAACCAGUGUCCAUCUUGUUUCUUUUGUGGUUCCGAGUCUUUUUGUAUAUGUGAAACAUUAUCUUCAAAUACUUGGCCCAGGAGCAUCGUCACAUUAGGACUUAUAAAGUCAUUUUGCUUCUAACCAGUUUGUGUAUUGCUGUUAUCGGAAUUAUUAUUCGUGGUAACCGAAUUUUCUCAUAACUUUUUAGACAAAUAUGUUAGUUAUUAUUAUGCCCAACCCAAAAGAACAUACUUGACAUGCAUAACCUUUUCAGGCAAAUU